ACUACUGAUGGGACCAAGGCUGGAGCGUAGGCUACCUGGUGACAAGAGGCCCUUGCUAACCAAGCUCCUGAAUANNNNNNNNNNNNNNNNNNNNNNNNNAAAAAAAAGAAAGAAAGAAAGAAGCAUCCAGUAAACAUCUCUGGAAGGAGGGCAAGAGCUGGAUGAGGCUGAAAAUGGAUCUCUUGAUACCACUGAGAAUCUUUGAGCAGGGACCCCCUGGACAUGUGGGAACAAUGACAGGCAAAUGACUGUUGUGGCUGUUGCAGACGAGGGACACCCAGAGAAAAAUGAGACUGUAAUUUCACACAUGUAAAUGAAAAGUCCGUAUUUUAAAAAAAAAUCUAAAUAGGCCAAAUACAAACACAGAAUAAAGGGACUACUGAUGGGACCAAGGCUGGAGCGUAGGCUACCUGGUGACAGGAGGCCCUUGCUAACCAAGCUCCUGAAUACAGGACAAGGCCCAGGGGACUUCUCAGUCCCUGAGAUCACAGGGCCUGGUGGAAGAAAGUUCUCCUGAAGGGACAAGGACAAAGGGACAGGGGAAAAGGUGACCCAGCCUGGGAGUGUCCACACCGAAGCCCAUGAUGCCCUGAGCUCUCACUGGGCACAGGCCCCGUCCAUGUUUCUCUCCUCACAUCCCAUCCGGAACUGACACAGCACAGCACACAUGUGGAUUCUGGAAGGUUCUCAAUCCUUCCAUUUAUUUCCUCUUUCAAACACUGGAAAGAGGAUCAUGGAAGAGAACACAGGUCAGGGUGAGGAUGCUCAUAGGAACACAGACCCUUUCAGAGGCAGCUGCAGAAACAGGAGUCAGGGGAUCUGGAUUCACAAAGUGGGACGUGAACAAAUCUUGUGUCCCUCAGUUCCCACAAGGCAGCUGUCUCACACUGGGAAUGAAAAUCAUCAGGAAACAGGCAGGUCAGUCAAGGAAGGGCUGACAUGCUCAACAGCCCCACAUGCUCCAAACCGCCCCCUCAAAGAUCCCCGUCACCCAGGGCACCCCCUCUGCCCCAACCCCCCUCCCAUCUAGGCCCUCCAGGGUCUCACCUCUAGGAUCCUUGGUAAGGGACACAUCGGAGCCCUGGUCACUGUCACUGCCUGGGGGACAGCAAAAGCAGGAUGGGGUCAGGACCCCCGAGAGAGAAGAUGACAGAAGGUGAGUGAACUCCACCCACGGCCUCCUGUCUGCACCACCAGGGCCUCAGGCAUCACAACCCUCCACACUGACCUGCAGCCUGAGUGUAGCUCCCUCCUUUUUCACCUGUGGGAAGAAGACAUCAUGUGAGAGACCAGGGAAAUGAUGGGUCAUGAGAUCUAGAGGAAACCCUAGAACCGGACCACAGAGACCUUUCCAGAACUUUGCCCAAAAAUCCAGGACAGGAUCAGG
rnacentral:lncRNA from 1 species